rnacentral:rRNA from 1 species
CCUACGGGAGGCAGCAGUGAGGAAUAUUGGUCAAUGGCCGAGAGGCUGAACCAGCCAAGUCGCGUGAGGGAAGACGGCCCUACGGGUUGUAAACCUCUUUUGUCGGGGAGCAAAGCGAGUCACGUGUGACUCAUUGAGAGUACCCGAAGAAAAAGCAUCGGCUAACUCCGUGCCAGCAGCCGCGGUAAUACGGAGGAUGCGAGCGUUAUCCGGAUUUAUUGGGUUUAAAGGGUGCGCAGGCGGAGGUGCAAGUCAGCGGGAAAAUUGCGGGGCUCAACCCCGUACUGCCGUUGAAACUGCAUGCCUUGAGUGCGCGAGAAGUAUGCGGAAUGCGUGGUGUAGCGGUGAAAUGCAUAGAUAUCGCGCAGAACUCCGAUUGCGAAGGCAGCAUGCCGGCUCCACACUGACGCUGAGGCACGAAAGCGUGGGUAUCGAACAGGAUUAGAUACCCCAGUAGUC